rnacentral:lncRNA from 1 species
GCUCUCUCUGUUAGGGGGUUGGUAUUAUCAUCAUCUCUCUUAGGGGGUUGGUAUUAUCAUCAUCUCUCUCUUUUAGGGGGUUGGUAUUAUCAUCAUCUCUCUCUGUUAGGGGGUUGGUAUUAUCAUCAUCUCUCUCUGUUAGGGGGUUGGUAUUAUCAUCUCUCUCUGUUAGGGGGUUGGUAUUAUUAUCUCUCUCUCUCUGUUAGGGGGUUGGUAUUAUCAUCAUCUCUCUCUCUGUUAGGGGGUUGGUAUUAUCAUCAUCUCUCUCUGUUAGGGGGUUGGUAUUAUCAUCAUCUCUCUCUCUGUUAGGGGAUGGUAUUAUCAUCAUCUCUCUCUCUGUUAGGGGGUUGGUAUUAUCAUCAUCUCUCUCUGUUAGGGGGUUGGUAUUAUCAUCAUCUCUCUCUCUGUUAGGGGGUUGGUAUUAUCAUCAUCUCUCUCUCUGUUAGGAGGUUGGUAUUAUUAUCAUCUCUCUCUGUUAGGGGGUUGGUAUUAUCAUCAUCUCUCUCUGUUAGGGGGUUGGUAUUAUCAUCUCUCUCUGUUA